UACGUAGGGUGCGAGCGUUAAUCGGAAUUACUGGGCGUAAAGAGUACGCAGGCGGCUUUGCAAGACAGGUGUGAAAUCCCCGGGCCUAACCUGGGAACUGCAUUUGUGACUGCAUGGCUAGAGUUUGGCAGAGGGGGGUGGAAUUCCACGUGUAGCAGUGAAAUGCGUAGAUAUGUGGAGGAACACCGAUGGCGAAGGCAGCCCCCUGGGAUGUGACUGACGCUCAUGUACGAAAGCGUGGGGAGCAAACAGG
rnacentral:rRNA from 1 species